UGGUUGUCAUUGUGUGUCUGUGUGUGGUUGUGUAACUGUCAUCGUGUGGCUGCAUGACUGGGAUUGUGUGGCUUCGGGAGGUCCGCGGGUGUGUGUGUGUGUGUGUGUCACUGUCAUUGUGCGGCUGUCGUGGGUAUCACUCUGAUGGUUUGUGUGUGUGUGUGUCUGGCUAUGCUGUGACUGCCAUUGGCCCCCCGUGUGGCUGCUGUCUCUGUGUGUGACUGUCUUGGUGUUCGUGUGGUUGUGUGCAUAGGACUGUCAUUGUGUGGCUGCUGUUGUGUGUUCAUUCUGAUGGUGUGUAUGUGUGUGUGGCUGUGGUCGUGCACUGUGCACCUUUCUUGUGUGGCAUUGUGAGUCUGUGUCAUGGUCCAUGGAUGUGGCCAUGUGGUUGUAGAUGGCACCGUGUCUCUCCCCUGUGACUGUCGGUGUGAAUAAGAGACUGUUAGUGUGUGUGUGGCUGUCACUGAGUGCCUUGUAAUUGGGGGUGUGACGCUGUGAUGGGUUCUGUGACCCCCAUUGUGUGCGGUGACUCUUUUCUGUGACUCUUAAGUGUGUUGCAGGCCUGACUGUGUGUCCCUGACUGUAGCGGCGUGGGGGCUUGUGUGGGACUGUGAUGUGUGUAGGGUCUCCUGACAUGUCUCUCUCUGUUUGGCCUGGGGUGGGGGUGGGGACUUGUUUGAUCUGUUUGGUGUCUCCGACAGGCUAUGAGCCCACUGUGUGUGAGUAUGCAGUGACAUGUGUUGUGUGUGUUGGACACCUGUCUGAACAAGGGGGCCCCUCUUGUUUACUGCAAAGUGGCGCCCAGCACAGCGCCUGGAAGUCGGCAGGUGCUCGGUCUUCACUGUGGAAUGGGUGAACGCUAUGCCAUGGUUGUGUGUGUGUGUGUGUGUGUGUGUGUGUGUGUGUGGUGCCAGGAUGGAGGCUGCGGCUGGGUUGUGCUUCCUAAAGGUGACAGCAUGGGUGACUCUGGGUAUCUAGGACCUCUGGCAACCAUCACCCCAUAUCACACUGCAGAAUGAGUGUCGUGGUUGGGGUGCUGGACCCAGAGUGCCUACCCUCGCCUGCCUGGGCCUCAGUUUCCACAUCUGCACAAUGGGGGUGACCAUCCCUGCCCUGCUGGCUGCCAGGAGCGGCUGUGAGUCUUCAGGCGUGGAUGCAGCCUGGGGGAAGCCAUAGGGCGCUUUCACAGGCCUGGCCUUCACCAUGGCGGGAGGGAGACCGCAUC
rnacentral:lncRNA from 1 species